UACGGAGGGUGCAAGCGUUGUCCGGAUUCACUGGGCGUAAAGGGUGCGUAGGCGGUCGGGUAAGUCUGAUGUGAAAUCUCACAGCUUAACUGUGAAACUGCAUUGGAUACUAUUCGGCUUGAGAGUUGGAGGGGGGACUGGAAUUCUUGGUGUAGCAGUGAAAUGCGUAGAUAUCAAGAGGAACACCUGUGGCGAAAGCGGCUCACUGGACCACAACUGACGCUGAGGCGCGAAAGCUAGGGGAGCAAACAGG
rnacentral:rRNA from 1 species